rnacentral:sRNA from 1 species
GAAGCGUAAUUUUCACCCAAAAAUCAGAAGUGAAACAGCAAAACAUCUCCAUCGCAAGCCCCAUCGCCAUUUUCCCUUUCGAGUUACGCCCAUUUUUCAUUUACUAAUUGGGAAGGGAAAGCGACCCAGAAAUUUUCUCUUCUGCCAGAGUAAAACCCAGAAGCCUUUUCGGGUUUUGUCAACUCUGAGCUCACAAAAACCCGAAACGCCAUUUGCGUGUUGGAGAAGAAAAAGCUUGUUGAGGUUUUACUGGGAGCAGAAAAAAUUGCUUUUGAAUUUUUGUGCGGCUGCAAGGAUUGUGAUCACCAGACAAGGAAGGCUGUGAGUUUUGAUUUUGUUGAAAUGUGGGUAUGAGCUUGAGGAAAUUUAUGUGUUUUUAUGACUACAAUGAAGUUCUGUUUGAUUCUAAGAGAUUGAAAGUACUGAAAAAUUAUAUUGACCUCAACAGGCUUAAGAUGGAGGCUAGAAAGAUCUACAUAUUUUUUUUGUUUUUCGGGUAA